GACGAACGCUGGCGGCGUGCUUAACACAUGCAAGUCGAACGGAAAGGCCCUGCUUUUGUGGGGUGCUCGAGUGGCGAACGGGUGAGUAACACGUGAGUAACCUGCCCUUGACUUUGGGAUAACUUCAGGAAACUGGGGCUAAUACCGGAUAGGAGCUCCUGCUGCAUGGUGGGGGUUGGAAAGUUUCGGCGGUUGGGGAUGGACUCGCGGCUUAUCAGCUUGUUGGUGGGGUAGUGGCUUACCAAGGCUUUGACGGGUAGCCGGCCUGAGAGGGUGAACGGCGACAUUGGGACUGAGAGACGGAGCAGACUGCUACGGGAGGCAGCAGGGGGGAAUAUUGCACAAUGGGCGGAAGCCUGAUGCAGCAACGCCGCGUGCGGGAUGACGGCCUUCGGGUUGUAAACCGCUUUAGCCUGUGACGAAGCGUGAGUGACGGUAAUGGGUAAAGAAGCACCGGCUAACUACGUG
rnacentral:rRNA from 1 species